UACGAGGGGUCCAAGCGUUGUUCGGAAUCACUGGGCGUAAAGCGGGUGUAGGCGGUCAUGCAAGUCACAUGUGAAAGCCCUGGGCUCAACCCAGGAAGUGCAUGUGAUACUAUAUGACUUGAGUACGAGAGAGGGAAAUAGAAUACCUGGUGUAGUGGUGAAAUACGUAGAUAUCAGGUGGAAUAUCGGUGGCGAAGGCGGUUUCCUGGCUCUGUACUGACGCUCAGACCCGAAAGCAUGGGUAGCAAACAGG
rnacentral:rRNA from 1 species